rnacentral:rRNA from 1 species
GACGAACGCUGGCGGCGUGCCUAAUACAUGCAAGUCGAGCGCAGGAAGUCAUCCGAACCCUUCGGGGGGACGUUGACGGAAUGAGCGGCGGACGGGUGAGUAACACGUAAAGAACCUGCCCUCAGGUCUGGGAUAACCACGAGAAAUCGGGGCUAAUACCGGAUGGGUCAUCGGACCGCAUGGUCCGAGGAUGAAAGGCGCUCCGGCGUCGCCUGGGGAUGGCUUUGCGGUGCAUUAGCUAGGUGGUGGGGUAAUGGCCCACCAAGGCGACGAUGCAUAGCCGACCUGAGAGGGUGAUCGGCCACACUGGGACUGAGACACGGCCCAGACUCCUACGGGAGGCAGCAGUAGGGAAUCUUCCACAAUGGACGAAAGUCUGAUGGAGCAACGCCGCGUGAACGAUGAAGGCCCUCGGGUCGUAAAGUUCUGUUGUAAGGGAAGAACAAGUGCCGCAGGCAAUGGCGGCACCUUGACGGUACCUUGCGAGAAAGCCACGGCUAACUGCGUG